GUUUACAUCAUCCAGUCGGUGCGGAGGAAGAGGUGGAGCUCGGGCCGGAGUUUCGCUUCUCGCAGCAGCAGCUGGUGAAGUCCGACGGCUACCGCCACCUAGCUCCUUCACUCAGCUGUGGCUGAGGAGGAGAAGAAGCAUUGACUCAUCACACAGUUGAUGGUUGGAUCCUAGCUGCCUCCGUCCUAAUGAUGAAGCGUCCAAGAGCAAGACGCUGAACUGCAAAUUUACUCCGGAUGGCAGCUAUGACAGCUCUGUCAUCCUCAUUGUGUGAGCCGUGUGAACAG